CGGGGCUGCUGGGCCUGGGACUGGGACGGGCUGCCCCCAACCCCAAGUACCUCUGAGAUAAGAAGUUCCCCUGUGAGAGCGAGACCCUGAAUACCCUGCGGGAGCCCGUGACACUUGGGGCUAGGUGCUAGGGGGACGCCCCCCACCAGGUGGGCCGGCUUUGCAUUGCCCACAAUGCUGGUUGCUCCAGAUCCCUCUAAGCCCACCCUUUAAAUGUGGUUACAAAACUGUGUAGAGCAUGCUUUCCGAAUAACAACAGUGACAAAUCAUCAUAAUACUUAGGGCACCUUGGAGUGAUAUCUCACCCCUGGCUGUGCUAUUACUGGACCAACAACAUCAAAAACUGCCAUUAGGAAUGUUGGAGUCAUUAGGCAGGCACAGAGCCUCAGUGAUAACCCUGGUGGAAGAAAGAAAGAAAGAAAGAGAGAAAACGAAAGAAAAAAAAAGAAAGAAAGAAAUCAGGACUACAUGGUUUAUUGCAGAAGGACCAGAGGCCAUGUUGACAUUUUUCACCAGUAGGUAGAGUGCAGUCAGCUAUCUUGCCCCUAUGUAUCUUUAUUCUUAGCUUUGCUCUGCUAGUCAGCCAUCCAUCCUCACCCCACCCCCUGCCACUGAUUGUUUUCUGUCAGUCACACUGAAAGACCCUUUAAAAAAAAAAAAAGGGACUCCUGAUACUGCCUGCCCACACUCAGUAAGAUUUCAGCUUGACCUAUUUCUGCACACGCUGGUAUCAAUCAUGAUACUCAGAUAGUUUUACCCAUGGCCCUAAGAUUGUCUUCUGUCAGUCAGUUUUCUUUGGUCUGUUUCACUUACUGCUCAUGGGCUCCUGUAAAUGGCCUC